UUGUGUCUAGAUGAAUAGCUAACAAUGUCCCUGUUGCCCCUCCCAGGUUGUGUUCGUCACCAUUCAGAUGGGUAUCUCUAGGGGGAAACUGAAACCUGAGGAUUUCAAGUCUAAAGUGGAGAUCAUUCUGAAGACAUUACAGCUCCCCGCACAGGCCACAACACGGGUGUGUCGCAAAAUUUUCACAAUACCAACUCCCUUUGGCACUGUCGAGUUGUGCUUGUCAUCCACUUAGACUACAUUACCCUGUUUGCUCUGAAUCUUGAGCUGCAGUUCCAAACUCCAGAGUUCUUCCUGGUGCUGGAAGAGCGCCCCCUUCAGUCUUCCUCCAUUUGAUCCUGUGAGUAACCUGGUGAAUAUCAGUGGUAUUCUGUCUGCACAGAAUACGUAUCUGAAACUUUUUAAGCCUCUGUAUGAGUCUCUCUCUCCAGAGGAAACGUGACUCCAACGCCCGUCUGAAUGACCUGCCCAGUGCCUCCAUCACCUCCACCAAGCAGGAAGUCAUCAUUGCCGUGGGUUUCCCUGCUGGCAAGUGGACGUGUAUUCCUUUUUCUUUCUCUUCCUCACUUUUUACUGACAACUAUGCCUUCUUUUUUUUUAUCUAGCCGGGAAAUCAACCUUUUUCCACACACACAUCGUCCCCAAAGAUCACGUGCACGUGAACAUGGACACCCUGGGCUCGUAGCAGAGCUCUGUAUCGGUCUGUGAGCGGGCUCUGAUGUAGGGCCGCAGCGUGGUGGAGGAUAACACCAAUAACACCUGCAUCUGUGCUCCUACUAGUGUGUGGAGCACUUUUGGUUUGUAAUUCAUGAACAACCUAAACCAAGUACAUAGCAGAUGGUGGUAAAUCUGCUACAUCCAUGAACCUAACCCUCCAGGUAUGAUGCUGUCAGCCAGAGUUUGGGCGUGUCCUGUUGCUGCUUCAACUUCUCUGCCUCCCUGGAGCAGGCCAAGCACAACAAGAGAUUCCGUGAGAUGGCCCCCUCACCACUAAGCACCUCAAAGUCAAUGGCAUGAUCUUCCACAGUCACAAG